UUGGAGGGCAAGUCUGGUGCCAGCAGCCGCGGUAAUUCCAGCUCCAAUAGCGUAUAUUAAAGUUGUUGUAGUUAAAAAGCUCGUAGUUGAAUUUCGAGAUUCUACUGUCAGUCAGGCUACCAAGUCUGUACUGGUGUGUAGAAUUUCUACCUUCUGGGGAACUAUCAUGUUAUUAAUUUAGCGUGGUGGGAAACCAGGACCUUUACCUUGAAAAAUUAGGGUAUUUAAAGCAGGCUUAUAUCUGAAUACAUUAGCAUAGAAUAAUAGAAUAGAAUGGUGGUCCUGUUUGUUGGUUUCUGAAUUACCGUAAUGAUUAAUAGAGAUAGUUGGAGGCAUUAGUAUUCAAUUGUCAGAGGUGAAAUUCUUGGAUUUAUUGAAGACUAACUUCUGUGAAAGCAUUUGCCAAGGAUGUUUUAUUUAAUCAAGAACGAAAGUUAGGGGAUCGAAGACGAUCAGAUACCAUCGUAGUCUUAACUAUAAACUAUGCCAACUAGGGAUCAGACGAUGUUAAAUUUUAUUGACUCAUUCGGCGCCUUACGGGAAACCAAAGUGUUUGGGUUC
rnacentral:rRNA from 1 species